rnacentral:rRNA from 1 species
AAUGAACGCUGGCGGCGUGCCUAAUACAUGCAAGUCGAACGGAGUGGCGCACGGGUGAGUAAUAUAUAGCUAAUCUGCCCCUUGCUGGGGGAUAACCGUUAGAAAUGACUGCUAAUACUCCAUAGCAAGGGAUGAGACUAUAUCGUAUCAGCUCGUCGGUGGGGUAACGGCCUACCGAGGCGAUGCCGCGUAACAUGUCUGAGAGGAUGAUCAGUGACAUUGGAACUGAGACACGGGCCAAACUCCUACGGGAUGCAGCAGUAGGGAAUAAUGCGCAAUGGGGGAAACCCGGACGGAGCAACGCGGCGUGGAGGAUGACAAUUUUCGGAGCGAAAACUCCUGUUGUUAGGGAAGCGGUACCUAACGAAGAAGCACCGGCUAACUCCGUGCCAGCAGCCGCGGUAAUAC